GAGCCGUUAGCUCAGUUGGUAGAGCAACUGCCUUUUAAGCAGUGGGUCGCAGGUUCGAAUCCUGCACGGCUCA
rnacentral:tRNA from 1 species